rnacentral:rRNA from 1 species
CACGGGAAAAUUCACAGCUCCGGACAUAGCGUAUGAUUGAAAGAUUGAUGGCGCUUGCAUGAUUAAAUAGCUCGUGGUUGAAAUUUGGCCGUUCUUAGUUGGUGGAGUGGUUUGUCUGCUUAAUUGCGAUGUACUUGGUGUACGAGACCUUGMCCUUCUAAAUAGACGGGUUAACAUUUUGUUGGCCCUAUACGUCUUCUUAGGGCGGUCCGGAACCAGGACUAUCUACUUUGAAAAAAUUAAGAGUGUUCAAAGCAGGCCAUAGGCCGAAUAUAUUAGCCUGGAAUAACAGAAUAGGACUCGUGAUCGGCUCUUGAGAUGUUUGUUGCGUUUCUAGAACUGCGCGUAAUGCAUCUGAAAAGGCGACAGCCGGGGGCAUUAGUAUUCGCACCCUUGUCCGAAAAGACCGGGUGAAAUUCUUGGAUUGUGCGAAGACUCACGUCGUACUGCGGAUGGAGCAUUUGUCAAGAAUGUUUGCUCUAAUCAACGAGGAAGGUUCCUAGGGUAAGCGCAAGUCAUUAGAUACCGUUGWUACGUCUCUACCAGUAAACUUUGCACACACCGCAUCCGUCGAUGCUCAUUUCACUAGCUCGAUCGGCCGCCUGG